UACGGAGGGUGGAAGCGUUGAUCGGAUUGACUGGGCGUAAAGGGAGCGUAGGCGGCUAGGUAAGUCGAUGGUGAAAUUUCUGGGCUUAACCCAGGAGCUGCUGUCGAAACUGUCUAACUAGAGGUUAUUAAGGGAAAGCGGAAUACCACAUGUAGCGGUGAAAUGCGUAGAUAUGUGGUAGAACACCGGUGGUGAAGACGGCUUUCUGUGAUAUACCUGACGCUGAGGCUCGAAAGUAUGGGGAUCAAACAGG
rnacentral:rRNA from 1 species